rnacentral:rRNA from 1 species
AUGAAGGAUUUAGAAGUGGCUGAUGUCAUUUUGAACAUCAAGUUGUUGAGAGACGAUGAUGGUGGGAUUACAUUGCUUCAAUCUCACUAUGUGGAAAAGAUCUUGAGUCGCUUUGGCUAUAGUGACUGCAAGCCCUCUACAACACCAUAUGAUGCGAGUGUGUUACUUCGAAAGAAUCAAAGAAUUGCUAGAGAUCAAUUGAAAUAUUCUCAGAUUAUUGGCUCGCUUAUGUACUUAGCCAGUACUACAAGACCUGACAUCUCUUUUGCUGUUAGCAAACUGAGUUGGUUUGUCUCAAAACCAGGAGAUGUGCAUUGGAAAGCUCUAGAGAGAGUUUUGCGUUAUUUGAAAGGCACUGCGAAUUAUGGAAUUCACUACACUGGGCACCCAAAGGUGCUUGAAGGGUAUAGUGACUCAAACUGGAUCUCAGAUGCUGAUGAGAUAAAGCAAACUGUGAUCACGAAAGUGAGCAGCUCAAAGGAUAACAUGAAGUCAUCAAGACACGUUCAGAGAAGGUUAAAGUCUGUCAGGAAAAUGAGAAACUCCGGAGUUAUUGCAUUGGAUUAUAUUCAAACGUCUAAAAAUCUGGCAGAUCCUUUUACUAAGGGUCUAUCACGUAGGUUGAUGUAUAUCUUAAUGUGUUCUAAGUGGCUCAUUUAA